ensembl:rRNA 5S_rRNA 5S ribosomal RNA
AUCUGCAGUCAUACCACUCUGAACAAGCCCCAGCUCAUCUCUCUUGGAGGCUAAGCAUAGACAGGCAUGGUUAGUACUUGAAUGGGACACAAACUGUGAACUGAAUCAGAAA